UAUCAUUCAUGUUUGGGGCGCCCCCGGUGAUUCUUGGAGCCCAGCUCGUCCAAGUCUUUCACGUUGUUGCUCUCCACUCAUGUGUUCCGUGGUCGCUUAAGGUCGCACAAUUUCUUGUUGUGUUUCUUUGGGUGCUUCGCUCUGUUCGCAUCGAGUUCAUCCAAGUCUUUUGGAUUUUACAUACAUUUUCUUGGCACUGCUGUAAAGUUUUAAAGAUAAAGAUACACACGUCGGAAUGACGCACACGCGAAAGGGGAUUCCACUAUAUAAUUUCUUUCUCUUAGUGAGGGAAAAGUCCAAAAACUCGAGUGAGUCGGUCGGUUCGAAUCCAAAGUAAAUACAUAACAAAAUAGCAAAAAUAAUAAUACCUUCACCUUGGUCAGGGUUUUGUUGAUUGUUACGUUUUAUGGUGGAGAUGUCUUUUUGUGGAUUAACCCUUUUAUUGUGAUGUGAUUUGAUUGGAGUGGAAUUUUUUAGGUGACUAUCAUCGGAAAGCUUCCAUGGAAAAUGGCUUCACUAAAGACAUUCGCAGUUCAAAUUGAGAACAGUUGUUCAUUUAGCUGUAUUCGCACAUUACGUCGUCAUUUUGAGGCAUAAAUGUAAUUGGCUGUUUUGACUAAGUGCAUUAUUGUGCUCAUUAGUUUAGUUAAUUUAGAGUUCCGUCGCAAGUGAGUGAUUUUUAACCUUUAAGAAAAUCAGACAGUUUUUAUACUUAAAAUCUAAAAUAUCUUAAAUGUAAUGGAGAUAAUUACGAGACGAAAAGAUUAUAGUAUAAAUUUAGAGUGGAAGAUGUUGAAGUAAUGAGAAACUGACGAUGUGUUGUGUUUUAGAGGUGAAUCCAAGGAACAAACAACUUUGUUAUCAUGUUCUGGAUGACCUAACUACGGCCUUUUGAGGAAGGCAAGCUGUUAUUAGCUUCUGUUUUAAGGAAAUUAUUUUCAAAUAAAAAAUAGAAGGGAUGUUGAUGGCGCUUUUAUCUUUUUGAUAAUGAUGUAAUAUGCUAUCUUGCGAAACCUAGGAACGGAAAGUGGCAAGGAAAAAUACUCACACCUUUUACUCCUUGAAAAGCUUCAGAAUAUAUAUAUAUAUGUCGAUUUUCUAAACAUUUUUGUAUUGACUCUAUCCUUUCUUUGAUAUUUGGUCAAUUAGCACUAACAUUAUUAACUCAGAUAAUCCGAACUUUACUCGUUUGGAAAAGGUUUUGGAGCGACAAAUUAGCAUCAAUUUAAAAAUACCUACACAACUACAACUACACGAAAUUUUGAUAGAUAUAGAUUACAAAUAUAUAUAAUCUAAAUUUGGAUUAUUCUUAAAAGAAAAAAUAGGGAUACGGUUUGGAAAAUCUACUGUCUUUUGCUUUAAUACUAACUCUUUUCAAAACAGACUUAGGAAAGAAGUACAUUAUGUGCGAUGAGGCUGGAAAUAUAAUGGAAAAGUGAUUUUUUUUCGUUUUCUCCUUCUUAAUGAAAUUAUAUUGAGACUUAUUACAAUUUAUAUAUUUACUUUGAUGAUUUUUCUUCCACAUCAUCAAUUCUAAAUUGUUGUUGUUAAUUGAUUUGAUAAUGGUGAUAUUUCAGCCCAAACUAAAACCAUUAUCAAAUGUUUUCAUUUGAAGCACACCCUAGCCUGGGACGGAACGCAGUCCAAUUAAUAAACCGAUUAUCAGGCCUACUCCAAUUAUGAAUUAUUCAUAAGGACUGUGCUAUCAAACACCUUAUAAUACCAAUAUUUGCAAUAUUUGGACAAUUUGUUGCAAACUAAAUAUCGAAGCAAAGAACAUAUUUUAUUUUAGUAUUUGACCUGAUAUCGUAUAUUCUCGGAAUUUAUAUUAGACAAUAAUGAAUUGAUAGAUAUUAAUAUUAACUUUUGGGGACUAGAUAUAUAUUAGUAUAUAAUAUACCAAUUUCAUUGAAAGAUUUCAUUUCCGUAUAGUGUUUCGGUAGAAAGUUUAAAUUUUUAUACAAAGGUUCAAAGCCAUUAUAGUAUAAACUAAUUAACUUAUUAUUUGUAUAUUUAUGUGAUACAAUUGUCUUGCUUUACAUUUUGUAGAAAAUAUUGCAGAAAAAAACUACUUUUUUGUUAGUGUAGUAAAUUGAUAAAACAAAGAGUUGCCCCUACCACAAUUUUAAUGCUAUAUGACUAUACUAACUUUUACGAGAUUAUUAUUAAUGGUUGUAAAAUUGACACUUCAUAUUUUGCUUUCAACUUUUGUUUUCGUCUUAUAACUUUGAAGUAUUAAAAAUUACAUAUUAUCUGGAUAAGCCACAAAGGAACAAGCUCUAGUAUUUUAGAAUAGAGUUUGACCUAGUUUUAAUAGAAAAAUAAGUUCAAUCAAUAUAUAUUCGCUGAAAGAGAAGGGAAGACCUCAAAGGUUGGACUUUAUCAGUAUCAAUAGUAUAUUUCCUCAAAUUGACAAUUAGGUAAAGCUGGUAGAUAUGACGUGAAUUUCGUUAAUGCUGCCUCAACGUUGAUUUUUUGUGAGCUUAUCUGCGAAUACUGCGAAUGACGGUGUGGUUCCACCGCGAUACAGCGAGGGGUCAUAGUUGUGUUAUAGACUUAACUUUCAUAUGUAUUACUAACAAUGAACAUGAAAUAAAACGAAAUAU